CUCACACACACUCACACACACACACACACACUCAGGCCUGUGACGGUUGCGGUGGAGCAGUGUUGUGUAAAUGAACCUGGUGCGGUGCUUCACUCCAGACAGAUUCUACAUCCUCCUGCUCGAUCGCCUGCGAGGUUUCUGCGGCUCCGCGAGGUUUGGACAGGAGAUGUCAUGAACACACUUUUCAAAGGCACAGAUUAGCCCUACAGGCUUCAUUAUGUGCAUUAACCUUUAGUUUUAAACUUGGGAAUGUCGUGUUAUUUUGUGUCCAGCCCUGCAGGAACACAUUAUCACAGAACCACCGCUAAACGAAGUCCUGAUUUACACAGAGCUCAAAUACUAAGAGUGGUGUUUGUGUGAUGAUAGUGAAAGACUUAUUUCUGAUCCAAGGUUAAAUAGUACAUGAGCACAUUUUAUUGUGGUGAUAGAUUCAGAAACAACUGGCCAAUCUUCAUUAUCUUCACAUAUUAUUAUUAUGUGUUAUACGAAUCUAAUCAGGACGGUCACAGCACUGGUGUACUGCGGCUCUUCUGUGGGUCUGAUUGCUUCUAUUGUGCUCAUCUGUAAGUCACUUUGGAUAAAAGUAUUUGCUAAAUGAUUCAAUGUAAAUCAAUGAUAUUACUGAAAAUGAAGUGUCUAAACGAGGCACAAAACCAUCUCACACCAUUUAACCUCUUUCUCACUACAGACGUUCACUUUGUCUUCAGUUACAUAAACUGCUUGGACUGGUUUUAACAGUAAGUCAUCCAAUGUCUUUCUGCAAGACUGGUCAUAACUGUUUAAAGUCAGUUACAUAAAAAGACCGGUCUGGUCUGAUUUGAUUGCUAAAGUAAGACUGAUUAUCGUUUGAUUGACCAGCUUCUGGUUUAUUUCUCAUGAACAUAAUACAGAAUAUGUGCCUCAGAGCUCAUCAGCAUUUCUACAUGAAAUGAAGAAGUCUUAGAACAGUUUGGAAUAAAGAAAUGAGGGUUCAUAUGUAAUGUCUAAGAGUAAAGCUGCAGGAUGUGAAUCAGUGAAGUGUAGCCGCCCGGACUGAAGGAGGUCAGUGAGUGUUUGAUGAGGACAGAUGUUCAUCUCAGACUCUGACCUCACGUCAGAUCCACAGGAGAUACCUUCAUCUUUUUAAUGGGUUUGGAGGAGCCUCACUGACUCACGAGAAGGUUUCUCUUCAAGUCGUUGCGCUCCGAACGCAGACUGACAGCGCAGCGCUCAGAAUGUCUCCUCACUUCAUCUCCAGGAGUUUAUCCUCAGAUGAUGGCCGGACAAUGAAAGCAGUGCUGUUAAUGAAUCACAUCCGCUAUCGUUGCUCAUGUGUGAGCAUUUGAAAGAGACCAUGAAGCCUUGGGUGAGGCGUCUUCCUGAAAAACUUUGUAUUGCAAAUAUUCAAGGUACCUUCUUCCAGAGAAAAAGAGCAUCUGCUGUUGUCUCUCACAGAUUAGUUUAGAUCUGUUUAAACGCUGCUUGAUCUGUGCAGAUUUCUCUCCUGAUUCAGACCAGAACACUUUUUCACUGGAGGAAGUGUUAUUAUGAUUAUAGACUCUAUGUGUUUGAGUUAAAAUCAUCUUAAUGCUGGAUGUGUUUCAGGUUUUGUCUUCUCCAGAUGUUCACUGAUGGACUGGAGUGCUGUGGAUUAUUGGGAUGUUUUUAUCAGCUGUUUGACCUGAGGACACAUCAAGUGGUCAAACUCAAAGUGUCCAGCCCGUUAUGACCCGGCGAUAUGAUCCAGGGAUGAGGUCUGUCUGUGAGCUCAGCAGAUAUUAAAGCACAGACGUCAUGAUGGUGUGAUCACGUCAGUCUCGAGGGCAGAUCUGUGUGACCGCGGGCCGCUGUGAGCCGCUAAUGGGAUCAGUUAAAGGUCCUGCAGUAUUAAAUGUUUGCGUGACAGAGCGGCGAGUGGCUCAUUAAUGUGUCACAACACCCAACACUGACCAUCCUGACCAGCCCUAAUCAUACAGUGCCUGGCUAAACUAUUCGUUUUUCAUUGUUUCACAUUUUAGUAUGUUGCUGCCUUAUAUAAACUUUUUUAAAUGACUUAAAUCAGUCUACACUUCAUACACCAUACAGACAAAGCAAAAACAGUAUUGUCACCAAUAAAAACCUUUACAGUCUCAAGACUUUUUUGUUUGAUGCGACAAGCUCUGCUCAUCAUCAUCAUCAUAUAUUUCAUUCUUCUCCUCACCUCUUCUCUUCUCAAGCUCUAUCAGUUUCUCGGACACUACUCUAAGCGAAGCCCUUCUCCAUCAGUUGCUCAGUUUCUCCAGGAGGACAGCUCUAGGAAGAGUCCUGGUUGCUUCAGACUUCUCCUGUUAAAGCUAACGGAGACCCUUCAAAGCUUUUCUGAACUCUUCUCCAGUUUUGACCUCGUGCCUUGGUUUUUGGUCUUGUUUUUGCAGUAUCAGCUGUUAGACAUUUUAUUAAGAUGUGUGUGCCUUUCCAAAUCAGACCCAUUCAAUUGAAUUUGACGCAUCCACCUCCAGAACGAACUGAUGAGACGGACCAGGAGUAACAAGAAUGGGAGCCGAAAUAAAGCGGCUCUUUAAAUUAGAGAAUGCAUCCUGAGCCUGCGGCGACCAACAGAAACGUCUUCGAGCGGAGGUGAGAUCCGUCAGAGGGAGGUGACCUGGCUAAAAUUCAGAAUGAACCGCCUGUAAAAAUGGACAAACCCCAGAAAUCGCUGGACCGUUCUACGACUGUCUGGGGUGGGACAAUCAGAAACUGCUUUCAGCUCGGCAGGAGAAUAUGUGAACUGAAGAGGCUCUUGUGGGUUUGCAUGUUUGAAUUACAAAGCAAGAAAGUCAAAGAGAGCUGAUGAAGACUGGCUUCUUCCAGUCCGUCUGUGAAGCGUUCAGAGCGAAGCGUCUGCUCUUCCCUGCACAAUGAGCGCUCGUGUGACGGCAGACUGUGAGCUUGUCCCGCUCCAGAGACAGAUGGUCGCUGGGGGACUCUGAUAACAGGACAGCAGGUCAACGCCGAGACUGCGCUCCAACUCAACAUGUGUGUUUAUCUGUCAUGUCCAAAUGUCAUAUUAAAGUGCUGGAGGUUUAUUAGCCACAGAAUCUGCUGCUAAUCGAAAAUAUGAGCAUCAUGCUGACAAAUCUGCUGCUUCGCUCUGAUGCUUGUAAAAGUGCUUUUGAAUAUGAUGAUAACACUGAAGCUUUCUGGAAAGAUGACAGCAUUCCCAACAGUGUCAUUGUCAUUCAUCUGGUGUUCUGCUCAUAUUAAUAUUAUGAAGUAAUAUUACUGAUGCUGUUCACACUAAUCAGUAAAGAUCACAUCAUACAUGAAUUCAGCCUUUCUUGUAUCCAGAUCCAGUGUUCCCUACAGGACCUGAAAGAAAGCUUGAGCUCUGAAACAUGAAAAUCUGACUCAGGAAUAAAUGAGGUAUGUUUCUAUAAAGUGUGUAUAUUACUCAAAUGUAUAAUAUAAUGUUAUUACUCAUGACUUCUAUACUCCUGUGAUACUGUACAUUCAAGCAUCCUAAUAAAGCGUUGCCGGAUUCACAUUCAAA